rnacentral:rRNA from 1 species
AGAGUUUGAUCAUGGCUCAGAGCGAACGCUGGCGGCGUACUUAACACAUGCAAGUCGAACGGGGAUCGUGGGGUGGGCAACCACUCCGCGGUUCUAGUGGCGUACGGGUGAGUAACACGUGGGUAACCUGCCCUCGAGCCUGGGAUACCCCCUCGAAAGGGGGGCUAAUACCGGAUACGUUCCUUGGGUCGCGAGAUCUGGGGAGGAAAGGUGGCGCAAGCUGCCGCUCAUGGAGGGGCUCGCGGCCUAUCAGCUAGUUGGCGGGGUAACGGCCCACCAAGGCGAUGACGGGUAGCUGGUCUGAGAGGACGACCAGCCACACGGGGACUGAGACACGGCCCCGACUCCUACGGGAGGCAGCAGUGGGGAAUUUUCCGCAAUGGGCGAAAGCCUGACGGAGUGACGCCGCGUGGGGGACGAAGGCCUUCGGGUCGUAAACCCCUGUCAGAGGGAACGAGGGGAGUCGGCGUGAAUAGCGCCGGUUCUUGACGGUACCUUCAGAGGAAGCCCCGGCCAACUCUGUGCCAGCAGCCGCGGUAAGACAGAGGGGGCAAGCGUUGCUCGGAAUCACUGGGCGUAAAGGGCGUGUAGGCGGGAGCGUGAGUCGGUCGUGAAAGCCUUCGGCUCAACCGAAGAAGGGCGGCCGAUACUGCGUUCCUUGAGGGGUGGAGAGGAGACUGGAAUUCCCGGUGUAGCGGUGAAAUGUGUAGAGAUCGGGAGGAACACCGGUGGCGAAGGCGGGUCUCUGGCCACAUCCUGACGCUGAGGCGCGAAAGCGUGGGGAGCAAACGGGAUUAGAUACCCCGGUAGUCCACGCGGUAAACGAUGACGACUAGGUGUGGGGGGGUUCAGUCCCUUCCGUGCCGCAGCUAACGCAUUAAGUCGUCCGCCUGGGGAGUACGGCCGCCAAGGUUGAAACUCAAAAGGAAUUGACGG